rnacentral:rRNA from 1 species
AGUGAGGUGGCGAACGGGUGAGUAACACGUGAGUAACCUGCCCCGUCUUUGGAUAACGCCCGGAAACGGGUGCUAAUACUGGAUAUUCACUGGCCUUCGCAUGGGGGUUGGGUGGAAAGGUUUUUUCGUAGGUGGGGGGAGUGGGCUCGCGGCCUAUCAGCUUGUUGGUGGGGUGAUGGCCUACCAAGGCUUUGACGGGUAGCCGGCCUGAGAGGGUGACCGGUCACAUUGGGACUGAGAUACGGCCCAG